rnacentral:lncRNA from 1 species
AAGAAAUUAUGUUACUAUAUAUAUGUAUGUACAUAUAUAUGUAUAUAUAUAUAUAUAUAUAUAUAUAUAUAUCUCACAUUUUCUUAAUCCAUUCCUCUGUUGAAGAGCACCUAGGUUGGUUUCAUAGCUAUUGUAAAUAGAGCUGCAAUAAACAUCGACGUGGCUGCAUCACACUGUAUGCUGAUUUUAAGUUCUUUGGGUAUAUACUGAAGAGUGGCAUAACCAAGUCAAAUGGAAGUUUCAUUCCAAGUUUUCUGUGGAAUUUCCAUACUGCUUUCCAGAGUGGUUGCACCAAUUUGCAUUCCCACCAGAAUUGUAUGAGUGGACCUUUUCCCCUACAUCCUUGGCAACAUUUAUUGUUACUCGUAUUCUUGACAAUUGCCAUUCUGACUGGAGUGGGAUGGAAUCUCAGUUUAGUUUUAAUUUGCAUUUCUCUCAUUGUUCGAGAUGUUGAACAUUUUUUUCAUAUAUUUGUUGACCAUUCAUAUUUCUUCUUCUGUGAAGUGCCUAUUCAGUUCCUUUCCCCUUUAUUGAUUGGGUUAUUUGGUUUUUGUAUACCUCUAUUCUUAAUUGAUAUACUUUUGUCCAAACAUACAACUGUGCCUGACUUUUAAAAAAUAGAAUAAAAUUGGCAUACCACGAGAUUUGUACACUUAAAAAAUACGAUUUUACCUACUGGGGAUCCAUAUUGCAUGAUCUCUCUUAUGAAAAUUGACCUGUCUGUUACAUUAGCUUUCUUAAUCCAGUUAUGGAAAACAAGUGCUCACACACGUUGUUGGUGGGACUGCAAAUUAGUGCAACCACCUUGGAAAGCUGUAUAGAGGUUCCUCUAAAAACUAGGAAGGGGGAACCACCAUAUCACUCAGCUGUCUCACUCUUUGGCUUAUAUCCAAAAGAUUAAAAUUAUUAUACUAUAGUGAUGCAGCUACAACAAUGUUUCCAUCAGUGCAUCUCACAUUAGUCAGCUAAGAAACCAACCUAGGUACCCGUGAACAGAUGAAUGGAUAAGGAAAAUGUGAUACAUAUAUCACAUUUGUGUGUAUAUGUAUGUAUAAAAUGUAUAUGUAUGCAUACAUAUAUAUAUAUAUAUGUAUUAUACAUACAAUUAUUACUCAGCCAUAAAGAAGAAUGAAACAUAAAGCUAUGACAUUUGCCAGUAAUUGGUUGGAACUGGAGACCAUCAUGGUAAGUGAAAGGUAAGUGAAAGCCAGACCCGCAAAGGCAAAGGUUGAAUGUUUUCUCUGAUAUGCAGAAGAUAGACCAAAGUAAGGGAAACAAGGAAAUAAGAAAAAAGGCCGGGAGGUUUCCAUGAAAAUAGAAGAUACAUCAGUGGAGCAGAGAAGGGGGAUGGAUGGUAGGGAAGAUAAAUGAGAAAAGUGAAGAACAGUGGAAUGACUCUGACUGAACUUCCUAUGUGCAUAUAUGAAUACACCACAGUGAAUUUCCUUUUUAUUUAUAUCCACAAGGUACUAAAAGAAAGCGUAAAUAGACAAAAGAAACACCAGUAGAGAAUAGGCAAGGAUCAUGGGAGAGAAGUAUAGGGAAAGGAGAAAUACUAUGGGUGGAAUUUAAGCAAAUAACAUUCCAUGAUUGCAUAGUUAUAUCAAGUGAAUCUUAAAAAAUGUGUUCUCAUAACUCUUCCUGGGUCCUGCCUUUCACCUUUGUCCAUGCUACACCUCCACGUCCCAAGAAAGGUGUUGAUCUGAUCUCUAUCACUAUGGAUGUGUCAAUAGUUUUUAUAAAUGUACGUAAAUGAAUUUAUGCAAGGUGGAUUGUUGGGCUCCUUUCAACAGCCAUAAUAUUUGUGAGAGGAAGACAUAUUUUGUAUAAAUCACCCAUUCCUGUGUUUUGCUCUAUUAUUAAAGUUAAAACUAGUGUGGAUGUCUUAUGAAAGAUCUUGUAAGAAUUCACAAAGAAAUAGAAGGGCUGUGCCAUAUAUUAGGAAUAGGUUUAAUUUUUAAGCAGCUGGACUUCCUGUUUUCUGAAAGGAUGGUACCACUAACAGUGCAGAAGAGUUCUACUCCCCACACUUUCUCACCAACAUUUGUAUAGCCAGACUUUAGCUCUUCAACUGGUGUGCAAUUAUAUCAUCUCAUGAUCUCAAUUUUUAUGAAGCUUUUGGUUUAUUUUGACAAGUAACUUUUCAUGUGAUUAUAUGAUGUGUAUAUGUCUUCUCAAUGAAAUCUCUUCCAAAGCAUAUGCCUGUGCUUUCAAUUUUAUUUUAAUUUUCUAAUAGUUGGGCUUAGAUUUUUUUCAUAUAGAAAGAAGUCCUUUUUGAAUAUGACUUACAAACAUUUUCUACCAUUCUUUGUUCUGCUUUUUCAUUCUUAUAGCAAUACCUUCCAAAUAUCUCUUCUUCAUCUCAGUUGUCAUUUUUGCUCCUUUCUUGUUCUUGUGAUGAUAUUAUCUGUAGGUAAUCUUCAUCUCUUUAAAGACUUUGUCCAAUAGAAAUUUCAUAAAUGUACAUUUUGCAUUUUAGUCCUUGAUCUAUUUUCAUUUAAUCUUCAUAUACUAUGUAGUAGGAGACUCCAUAACUUAAUGAGGUUUUGAUUUAAUUAAGUGAUGGAGAUACCAGCCUUGAUUAUAAAAUGCAAUUAUAGGAAAAUUGUGCUGAAGAAUCAACCCCUGGGGAAGGGGGUUAAUCUUCAUAUACUUUGUAACUACCUGAGCUAUAUCACAUAAUUUCUAGUAUAAAUUGUAGGUUGCUAUGCUAAUUAACUGCUGUCUAAACUAUAACCUAAUUGGCUUAGUUCUUAGAAAUAUAGCUCUUAGUGAGAUAAACUCAAGUCAUCUUGACUUACUGCUGCUGUGGUGAAGGCCACUUCACGACAACACUCACAGGUAUUUUACUGCCUUUGUUCUACACCUACUUAUUCUCUGUGCAUGGUCUUUGGUCAUGUAGGCCAAGAAUUCAAACCCGUCGAUGUUGUAAUGGUUAAGAAAUGAUGUUAAAUUUCCUACUAAAGCCCCAUGUAACUCCAGCUUGGGGCCCAGAACUUUAGAACACUAGCUCUUCUGGGUCUGACUAUGUAAAUAAAUCUGAGUUCUCCAACCCUCCAAUAGUGCUUGGUCUCUUACUGAGCAUGAUUUCCAUAACAAUUAUAGCAGGGGGGGAAUCUUCCCUCUGCUCCUAGCAAUUGCAGAACUCUAUAGGCAGUGGAGCUAGCAAUUUGUGAAGCAUUGUUCUGGAUCUGGCCCACCUGUGAGCAAGUCCAAGCCAGUCCUGGGGGCUACGACCCUCUGUACUGCCCCUUGGGAAAGGCUGACCAGCUGUUGAGUAGGGUGUCAAGGGGAUCUGGGAUGAUGUCUUACGCCCCAAUCCAGGUUGCCCUGUGUAGCCACUCUGUGGUUAAGGUAUUAUAGAG